rnacentral:rRNA from 1 species
UCUGGGACAAGCCCUGGAAACGGGGUCUAAUACCGGAUAACACUCCUGCCCGCAUGGGUGGGGGUUGAAAGCUCCGGCGGUGAAGGAUGAGCCCGCGGCCUAUCAGCUUGUUGGUGAGGUGAAAGCUCACCAAGGCGACGACGGGUAGCCGGCCUGAGAGGGCGACCGGCCACACUGGGACUGAGACACGGCCCAGACUCCUACGGGAGGCAGCAGUGGGGAAUAUUGCACAAUGGGCGAAAGCCUGAUGCAGCGACGCCGCGUGAGGGAUGACGGCCUUCGGGUUGUAAACCUCUUUCAGCAGGGAAGAAGCGAAAGUGACGGUACCUGCAGAAGAAGCGCCGGCUAACUACGUGCCAGCAGCCGCGGUAAUACGUAGGGCGCAAGCGUUGUCCGGAAUUAUUGGGCGUAAAGAGCUCGUAGGCGGUCUGUCACGUCGGAUGUGAAAGCCCGGGGCUUAACCCCGGGUCUGCAUUCGAUACGGGCAGACUAGAGUGUGGUAGGGGAGAUCGGAAUUCCUGGUGUAGCGGUGAAAUGCGCAGAUAUCAGGAGGAACACCGGUGGCGAAGGCGGAUCUCUGGGCCAUUACUGACGCUGAGGAGCGAAAGCGUGGGGAGCGAACAGGAUUAGAUACCCUGGUAGUCCACGCCGUAAACGGUGGGAACUAGGUGUUGGCGACAUUCCACGUCGUCGUGCCGCAGCUAACGCAUUAAGUUCCCCGCCUGG